AUGUCCUGGGGCAGCAAGCCAGCGUGUCAGCAUCGGGCACCCCCCAUGCCCACCCCUCCCUCCAAGCUCCCCAAGAGUCACAGGCAAGGGCGGGGGGGAACCAGCAAGAGCAAAUGGAUGGGCCUCGAGGCUGGUGGGACGGGACCCGGGCACCCUGAGACAUGCCCUCUCCCUGGGGUGUGACGUGGCAUGGCGGCCGGUGCUGUCCCCCCCCCCCAACAACUGGCCCUCAGAGGCGCCGGAGCUGUACCUUCACAUUUUCCACUGAAGUGGUGCCAACCCCAGAGCCUCCCCCCUGGAUUCCUUGGCCAGGACUCUGGGCAGCCACAGACAAGGGUGACCUCAUCGCCCAUGGGCUCCCUCCCCUGGUGGGGGCCUUAGGCAAAAAUGGGUAGCCACAGGCAGGGACUCAGAGAAGACCCCGCCAACCCACUCCAAGGGGAGGUAGAAGCCACUGCGUUCUGCCCUGCAGGCGUUCGAGGACCCCCCUCAGCCCUCCCUGGUCCUGCCCCCCACCCCAGAGCAGCCACAUUCCUGGACACACAUUCCUGGUCGAGGCCCCGGCCAGCCACCACCCUCCCUCCGCCCAGCACAGAGACUGCUGCCCAGGCGGCCGCUUCCUGAACAGUGGCCACAGGGGGAGGGGCCCAGAUGAGACUGAGCACAGCGGGGAGCCUGAGGGCCCCUUGCAGGAGCACAGGACCCCCUGGGCUCUGCCCAUCUGCACCUGCCUGCCCCAGUCCUGCCAACUUUCAUGCUCCCAGCAGGCCCGUCCUCCGGGGACACCCCCUGUGCCCCUGCCCUUCCUUCUCUGCACAUGAGUGGGGGGCCACCCCUGAACUGGACAGACCCUGGAGCAUGCAACAAGGGGAUGGGGAGGCUGCCCCAGAGCAGGGUCUCAGGCAGAGAGCGCAGCGUGGGCCAGAGCUGGAGGGUAUGACUGACACCAGGAGGCUGCGCCACCCGGGGACCCCACGCACAACUCGCGCUGGGGGGCAGCCUGGGACGGUGGGGUGAACUCCAGCCCCCUGGGCUCUGUGCCCCCUCCCCACUCUGCCUGGCACAAAAGGCCCAAGUGUACACAGGAGAGGGAGAGAGAGAGACAAACAGGGUGUGGCCCAGCACCAGCGCCAGGGCAUCUGAGUUAACUUGCUCACGCAGGGGGAGAAGACCUGCCUGGGUCACGAGUCCCACCUCACCCUCCUGCCCCCUGCGGAGGCAGAGGGAGAGGGCUGCACAGCCCCGGCACCCGCCGAGGGGAUCCCCACUUCCCCACAGCCCCCAGAGACAGCGAGAUGCUGCAGGCUCCUUCGGCGUGGCGCGAGAAGGCAGAGGGACGAGGGCCCCUGCUCUGUGCGGCCUCCGGGGGCUGGGAGGCGGGGAGGAGGGCGGGCCGGCGCGGGGGAGGGGCCGCCGCCACUAUAAAGGCCCGGCCCGCGGCCCCUCUCCAGCCCGGGACGCACACGUGCGCGCGGCGCCGCAGCCGCCACCGCGGGCCCCCGAGACCCGCGCCUCCCCGGCCCCCGGGCGGCCGCGCGGCUGGCGGCAUGCGCUGUGCAAGGCGGAGCUGACGGCGCGCCCGCCGGCCCCAUGUCCUUCGCCAUGCUGCGCUCGGCGCCGCCCGGCCGCUACCUGUACCCCGAGGUGAGCCCGCUGUCGGAGGACGAGGACCGCGGCAGCGAGAGCUCGGGCUCCGACGAGAAGCCCUGCCGCGUGCACGCAGCGCGCUGCGGCCUCCAGGGCACCCGGAGGCGGGCCGGGGGCAGGCGGGCGGGGGGCGGCGCCCCGGGGCCCGGUGGGCGGCCGGGCCGAGAGCCCCGGCAGCGGCACACAGCGAACGCGCGCGAGCGGGACCGCACCAACAGCGUGAACACGGCCUUCACGGCCCUGCGCACGCUCAUCCCCACGGAGCCGGCCGACCGCAAGCUCUCCAAGAUCGAGACGCUGCGCCUGGCCUCCAGCUACAUCUCGCACCUGGGCAACGUGCUGCUGGUGGGCGAGGCCUGCGGCGACGGGCAGCCGUGCCACUCGGGGCCUGCCUUCUUCCACGCGGCGCGCCCGGGCAGCCCCCCGCCGCCGCCCCCACCGCCCCCCACCCGCGACGGCGAGAACGCCCAGCCCAAACAGAUCUGUACCUUCUGCCUCAGCAACCAGAGAAAGUUGGUGAGUGUCGCCCACGGGGCAUCCACGGAAAGAGGCGAGGAGGAUGUGGCGGCCUCUGCCUCCAUACCACCCCAGCCACCCACACCUGCUGGGCAGAGAACGGGGCCAGAGGCCGGCAGAGCAACCCCCCCCUCCCACCAGCAGCACCUGUGAUCCAGUGCGCCCAGGGGUCCAGGAGGGGAGGAGCAUAAGAAGGCCCCGCUGGAGCAGGCAGGGCUGGGCCUUCCCUGGGCCUUCUCCCCUCGAGUCCCCGGGGACACAGGUGCCCAUGGGGACCGAACAGAGCCAGCCAGGGCUACGUGGGAGUCUGGGAAGCAGGGAAGACACCAAACUGGAAGAGGCUGGGGGACCAGACCAGGAUUGGUUCAAGAAACUCUGGCCCCCCAACCCUGUCCCCAAAGGAAGGGGACUCGCCCGCCACCCCCCCCAUCUGUUUGCCCUGUCAAAGCCCCUGCCACCGGCCCCAGGCCUAUUGGGCACCUGCUAGCCCUCCCGUGGCCCUGCCCCAAGCCCCCAGGGCUGCCCACUCAGACCCCCGGGCGGCUGUGGGCUCUGCAGACAGGAGGCUGGCGGGAGAUGUGGGGGCUGGGGGAGAGGGCCACGUUGCGGGAGCGCUGGCCGGCUGUGAUUUACAGCCCCUGCCGUGCUUGGUGGCACCGGAAAAGCAGGGUGAGCAGGGAGAAAAUGCGGCGCGGCUUUUCCCGAUCCCCAUUUCCUCUCCAGACAGCACGCGUGAGCUCCUGGGGCCUGAACAUCUGGGAAAUUUAAUUUUACAAUUUCGGCUGUGCAGCAGUGUACUCUCCUCCCCAAACUGCACGGGGAAGCCGGGAGCAAGGACCGAGACAGA